rnacentral:lncRNA from 1 species
UAUAUGAGCAUUUUAUUUGUUUUGGGUUUGCCUGGAGGGCAGAUCAUUUCCUUGCUCUCAGUCCUGACCAUCUUUGUAAUAUGCCUUUGUAAGACGCCAGCAUGAAUAACAACGGCGGUAACUAUGCACUGCUUCUGUCUCUCCCCCGACCCCAAACAAGUGACUCAAGUGUAUACCUCCGCACUCGCUCCCUUUCAAAACUUCAGUGCAUCAGAGGACUAUGCCGUUUUGUUUGUUGUGUCCCAGGAUACACACACUUGUAUAAAGAUGUUUGGCAGUGGACAGGACACCCUUGGGGGGAAAUUCAGGGAAACUGAAGGAGGAGUUGCUUUGUCUGGAGUCUCACUAAAAUAAUAACAGGAGUAUUUUCUUUGGCACUAGAGUCACAGGAAAAAGGGCUUGGUAGGAAGCCACACCCCAGCACUGCAUUCGCCCCUUCUCAGCCUGUCUGACUUUUGGGGGCCUGUGGGGAAGUCUUCUCUGGAGGGCUUCACACCCCUUCUCCUUUCACCCUGUUCUCUUUAAGACACUCAUUCUUAGUAGUCUUUUCAAGUCCAUCCUUCAAAAGUCAGCAAGCAUCCUGUCCAGCAAGCAGCCUUUCUUCUCUCUAUCGAGGUCUUAGACCUUUUCUUUAUAGCAUUACAGAGGUCUGAAGUCUCCAUGCAUGUACUCUGUGUUUUUUGUCUGCUACUCUACCAGAAGUUCCACAUUUCCACAGGACUUCCUGCUUCUCUUCUAUUGAACUCUCAGAACCCAGUUCAAUGAAACAUACAACAGGCUAAUAGGAAGUCACAGUUGUGGUCAAGCAAUGAGAAGAUAGAGGAAAGUUCUCUUGUAAAUGCAGCACACAAAGAAAGGUGGGUGGAUAUGGUUGUAUUCUCUUGAGGAAGGUAUAGUCUUCACUGCUAGAAAAAAAAUAAUGGAAUAAAGGCCAUAUAUUGCACUUCCCUGUUCCCCUAGACUCUACUUUGCAGAGUUGUGUUUAUCUAUUGUGUACUGUGAAAGAGUCUUGCUGUGUAGUUCACACUAACCUUGAACUUGUGAUCCUCUUAUUUCUCCCCUAUAAGUACUAGGAUUAUAGAUGUUGGAAACCAUGAUUAUCUCCAAGGCCUUAUUCUCGGGGCUCUAAUUUACUUCCUUCUUUUCAUCCUUCCCUCCCUCCCUCUAGCAAUUACUUUUCUAUGUGUAGGCACUCUUUGGCAGACUUAGAAUUCAUCAGCAAAUGCAUUAUACAGGAAAGCACUGCCUUUGGGGAGUUUAUAUUGCAGCCUUACUAUUGCAACUACUGUCUACUAACUUUCUACCCUGUUAUUCUUGAGUAUUUUUUGGCCAGGGUCCAUCUAUUAUGAUACUUUGUCCCAACACAUAAUUCAGUUCUUUACAGAGUCCCUGCUCAAAAGUAAUUGACUAACUGAAUUCUCCAAUAUUUGUUUCUGAUUUUCUACUAACACUGUAGAGCCAAUGAGUUCAGCACAUGCAAACAUGUCUUGAUUAUUAGUCAUAACUCUCAGAAAUAUUCUAGUCUUGUGUCUUUUCACAUAACCAUCCAAGUUUGUAGAGGAAAUAAUUGUUUUUGGUUAUCCAAAGGCCAGGUUGCCACAGUUCACUGAAGGGACUAUUUUGAACAACUUACCUGUGAAUUAAAAAGGUACUCAACUAUUUGGUAUCAUUUAAUCUCAUUAAAAAUUGAGUGUUUGGUGAAUAAUGAAGCAAGUUCUAUGACAAGAUUCCACAUUUGAAUCCCAAGUUGCCCAAUGGAUGGGGAGAUGUUCAGGUGUCAAUCAAUUGACCUGUUCCAGUCUUGGCUUCCAUGUUUGUUGGAAGCAGGCUUGGAACGUUCUGAGCAUUCUGUGUUUGGGGAACAUGCCUGGGAUAGAACCAGCAAGGUUUCUAAGAAUCCCAAUUAGCUUAGUUUUGGGAUUCAGCUCCUGCAGAAAUCCUGUAGGUCUGUAGGACCUGGUAACACCCUACCCCACAGGUUGGUUUUAGGAACACAACUUGAAGUAGCCCUUGGGAAAUGCUCUACUGUUAAUUCAUCUCCUUAUUUUAAACACAGGGGAGGGAAGAGCUGUGGCUCACAAGGUGUGAUAGGCUCCUGGAAGAGGGGUGAUAUUAACUCCCUGAGAUGCUAAUCUGCUAUGCAGCUCAUCAGGCUUGUCUGAAGGAUCUAGGAUCCUGUACUCCCAGGAGAAUGCCUUUGUGGGUUCAGCUACUACUCACUGAGGUGUCUGGAAAUGGUGCUUCUUAAAGGUAUAGGUUUCCCUGUCUCUGGCUAGGUUUCAGAAGUUUUUGCAGAGGACCAAAUGUAACUUCUGGAGUUUGAAUGAUCUGGUCAGUGUUAGAGCUCCUUGAUGCUGCUGUUUGAAAGUGAAAGCUGCCAGAAACACAUAUAAAUAAAUGAUGCUAAAAAUGUUCCAGCAAAACUUACUCACAAAAGAAAGAAAGAGAGAGAGAAAGAAAAAAAGAAGGAAGGAGAAAGAAAGAAAGUAACA